rnacentral:lncRNA from 1 species
GCAGAUUUUCAAGCUUUGGGUUUUGAGGAACUAAGGAACUCCUAGGCUCCGUUUGGUUUGGGAAUUAGUAGGAACUAGUUAUACCGGGGAUAGGUACAAGUAUGAAUUUUUGUAAGAAUAAGGGUAUUUUUUUGUUUGAAUGAAAAUGUGAGUAUAAGCUGGAAAUAGAAAAAUUACGUUUGGAUAGUUAUUGAGAAUAAGAGGAAUAGUUGUUAGUUAUAAAUAGAAAAUAAUGAUAUUAUCUCUAUAAUUGAAUUUAAAUUUUUAAAUUUUAAACUUAUAAUUUUAAAUUAAAAAUUGAAAAUUUUAACUUUUAAAUUUUAAAAUUUGAAAUUAAAAUUUAAAGUUAUAAUUUUAUAAAUAUCAUAUUUUAAAUUUAAGACCAAAUUUAAAUUUCAAAGAUAUAAAAUAGCAAAUUUAAAAUUUAAAAACUAAAAAUAUCAAAUUUAAAAUUUUAAAUUAUCAAAUUUAAAAUUUAAACUUUAAAAUUUAUAAUUUUAAAUUAUAAAUUUAAUUUUAAAAUUUUAAAUUUUAAAAAACUAAUUUUAAAUUUAAAUUAAAAAUCUCUCUCUUUUUCUCUCUCUCUCUCUCUACCCGGUUUGG